GACGAACGCUGGCGGCGUGCUUAACACAUGCAAGUCGAACGCUGAAGCUCAGCUUUUGUUGGGGGGAUGAGUGGCGAACGGGUGAGUAACACGUGAGUAACCUGCCUCCUUCUUUGGGAUAACGCCCGGAAACGGGUGCUAAUACUGGAUAUUCACUGGUCUUCGCAUGGGGGUUGGUGGAAAGGGUUUUUCUGGUGGGGGAUGGGCUCGCGGCCUAUCAGCUUGUUGGUGGGGUGAUGGCCUACCAAGGCUUUGACGGGUAGCCGGCCUGAGAUGGUGACCGGUCACAGUGGUACUGAGAUACGGCCCAGACUCCUACGGUAGGCAGCAGUGGGGAAUAUUGCACAAUGGGCGCAAGCCUGAUGCAGCGACGACGCGUGAGGGAUGGAGUCCUGCGGGUUGUGAACCUCUUUCGCUCAUGGUCAAGCCGCAACAAUGGUUGUGGUGAGGGUAGUGGGUAAAGAAGCGCCGGCUAACUACGUG
rnacentral:rRNA from 1 species